AACAAGCUUUGACGUUCACACUAUGGGAAGAAACUAUUAUUGAGGACGAAGGCAUGAAGCUCCUUGACCAAUUCCAAAAACAUCCUAUUAUCUUUGCCAGGCGUAUUGGGGUAUCCAAGUACAAUGGUACAUCGUUGACAACAAAAUUUAACACCAUAAUACAAAUUGAUCCCCCUUAUUCCCAAUGCCUACAAUUGCACACAUGGGUCACAUAAAACAAAGAAAUGCUUGCUUCUUUCAGUCUGAGGAGCACAUCUGAAUCUGGAUCUCUUAUCAGCGUUUUAGUAGAUGAACAAAUAGUCCCAAUUGCAAAUGUUCAAUCACAACAGGACGGGCAUUCCUUCUCUAUUGAGACAAAAGUAUCACUUCCAAAUAAACUCAAAAUUUGCUAUGUUUUACUAUGUCCCAACUGCAAACAAGAAGUCAGAAGUUUAAUAAAAAGAAUGUUUCUGUGUAUGACUUGUAAGCAACGAAAUAUGUUAAUUCCCAGGUGCAAAUUUGAUAUAAAUCUCCAAGAUGCUUCCGGAUCAAUAAUUGGGAUAAUUAUGGACAAAGAAGCAGAAAAAUUAUUAUCCCUUACCAUAGAUGAGAUUUACGACCUUGCUUCAAAUGAGGAUGACUUGCUACCAAUGCAGAAUAUUCAAAGCAAGCUAAAUCAGAACUUUUACAUAAUUCAAGUGAAAAAAUCAUUCUCCCGCACUUCUCAAGCAACAUCUAGAAAAUUGUACAUUUUGUCUUGCCCUGGAAAAGGAAAAAAUGGUGCAUUCUCUCCCUGAAUCACCAAAAACUGACAUUGAAGAAGGCAACAAAAAGGAAAAAUAAACAUUUAGUUUCUUUUGAUGAAGAAACAGAAGUACCAACCGAGCGACGUCACUCGCUCAAGCUGAAACAAAAACUGGAGCCAACAACUCCAGUAAAAAAGAAAUAAAGGAUAACCUUUUUUUGCAAUCACUUUUGCGUUUUGCGGAACAAAGUUCUUUUGUAGGGAAAUCAAUUCUCUUUUGAAGCUUGCUUUUGACUUUUUGUCUUGCAACUACAUGUUCCAACAACAUAUACAUCCAUCAAACAAAGCAAUGACUGUGUUCAAUAGAG